UGGGGAAUCUUGCGCAAUGGGCGAAAGCCUGACGCAGCCAUGCCGCGUGAAUGAUGAAGGUCUUAGGAUUGUAAAGUUCUUUCGCUCGUGACGAUGAUGACGGUAACGAGAGAAGAAGCCCCGGCUAACUUCGUGCCAGCAGCCGCGGUAAUACGUAGGGACCAAGCGUUGUUCGGAUUUACUGGGCGUAAAGGGCGCGUAGGCGGCAUGACAAGUCACUUGUGAAAUCUCUGGGCUUAACCCAGAACGGCCAAGUGAUACUGUCGCGCUAGAGUGCAGAAGGGGCAAUCGGAAUUCUUGGUGUAGCGGUGAAAUGCGUAGAUAUCAAGAGGAACACCUGAGGUGAAGACGGUUGCUGGGCUGACACUGACGCUGAGGCGCGAAAGCCAGGGGAGCAAACGGGAUUAGAUACCCUAGUAGUCCCUGAGCGGGCUGGCAAGGCGCAU
rnacentral:rRNA from 1 species